AGUGAACGCUGGCGGUAGGCUUAACACAUGCAAGUCGAACGGCAGCACAGUAAGAGCUUGCUCUUACGGGUGGCGAGUGGCGGACGGGUGAGGAAUACAUCGGAAUCUACUUUUUCGUGGGGGUUAACGUAGGGAAACUUACGCUAAUAUCGCAUACGACCUACGGGUGAAAGCAGGGGAUAUUCGCACCUUGCGCGAUUGAAUGAGCCGAUGUCGGAUUAGCUAGUUGGCGGGGUAAAGGCCCACCAGGGCGACGAUCCGUAGCUGGUCUGAGAGGAUGAUCACCCACAUUGGAACUGAGACACGGUCCAGACGCCUGCGGGAGGCAGCAGUGGGGAAUAUUGGACAAUGGGCGCAAGCCUGAUCCAGCCAUACCGCGUGGGUGGAGAAGGCGUUCGGGUUGUAAAGCCCUUUUGUUGGGAAAGAAAAGCAGCAGGUUAAUACCCCGCCGUUCUGACGGUACCCAAAGAAUAAGCACCGGCUAACUUCGUG
rnacentral:rRNA from 1 species